AAGGCAACCACGAUAAGUAACCUGAUUUACCAUAUUUUAUAUAUCAAAUGUCUGAUUUGGAACAUUUUCAGGAGUUUGAUAAUGGAUUGAAUGUAAAUUGUCAAUAUACUAGUUUAAGAACCCAACUUUCCAAAAUAGGUGGUGUCACAUGCUACGCAAAUGUUAAAGCAAUUCUUUUAAAUGUAUCUGGAAAAUAUUUCAUUGCUUAUUUGUCUAAUUAUAUUUUUUGUCUGCAAAAUUAUGAUCUACAUUAAAUAUAUGAAAGGAAUAACACAAGUUCAUAGCUGACAUGAUAACAUUUCUUCAGCCAGCUGUACGCUAUGAUUAUAUACUUAAACUUAUGCUAUAUAUUACUUAAUUAUUCUAUUUACUACCUAGACUAAUGACAAACAAGUUAAUGUCAAAUUUUAAUUUGGAUGGUACAGGGAAGAAGAUGCCAUUUCGCAAGACAAAUUUGAUAAAGAUCAUUGUUGAGGCCAUGCCCAAGUAUACUGGAAAUGAAAUCGAAAAGUGUAUUGGUAAUGUCCUAAAAAGAGCGCCGGACAGAAAAGGCGGUGGUGGUCGUGAAAAAGAAAGCAACGACAAUGACAGUAUUCAAGACAUUUUUUAAAAUCUGUAGACUGAAAUAUUUUGUAGAUUGUGUAUACUUUUAA
rnacentral:lncRNA from 1 species